UACAGAGGUCUCAAGCGUUGUUCGGAUUCAUUGGGCGUAAAGGGCGUGUAGGCGGUCUGUUAAGUCAUGUGUGAAAUCCCUCGGCUCAACCGGGGAACGACGCAUGAAACUGACAAGCUAGAGUACCAAAGAGGGGGGUGGAAUUCCCGGUGUAGCGGUGAAAUGCGUAGAUAUCGUAAGGAAGACCAGUGGCGAAGGCGGGUCUCUGGACAGUUCCUGACACUGAGGCACGAAGGCCAGGGGAGCAAACGGG
rnacentral:rRNA from 1 species